UGCCUUGCAUGCUCAACGCUCUGGGUUCAAUCCUUAGCACCAUCACCAAAAAAUAAAAAGUUUUCCCUUUACUGCUGGGUGUGGUGAUGAAUGCCUACAAACCCAGCACCUCUGGAGGCUGAGGUAGGAGGAUCACAAGUUCAUGACCAGCCUCAGCAACCUAGCAAGGCCCUGUCUCAAAAGAAAACAAAAGGGCUAGAGAAGUGAAUCUGUGGUUAGGCACCCCUGCCUUCGGUCCUUGGUACCAAAAAACAAACAAACAAACAAACAAAACCCAAAGAAACAAAAAAAAAACUCUUCUUUUUUCUGGGAUAAAUGCCCAAGAGUACAGUUGUUGCAUCCUGCUAUAACUGUGGUUUAGUUUUUUUCCAGAACGUAUUAGAGUAUUUUCCAGAGUGGCUGUACCAUUUUAUAAUCUCCCAAUGUAUUCUAUUUGUGUUCCAGUUUUCCCACAUCCUUACCAGUAUUUGGUAUUGUUGUGUUUGUUUGUUUGUUCGGUUUGGUUUGGUGCCAGGGCCUUGCUAUGUUGCCCAUACUGGCCUCAAACUCCUGCACUCAAGUGAUCCUUCUGCCUCUGCCUCUCUCAUUGCGGGGAUAGUGGGGUGCUACCACAUCCAACUAAAUUGUUUAUUUUAGUCAUUCUGAUAGGUGUAUAAUGAUUGCUCAUUGUGUUUUGUUUUUAUUUGCAGUACUGUGGCUUAAACCUAAGACUUUGUAUAUGUCAGACAAGUACUCAACUGCUGAGCUACAUUCCCAGAACUUUUUUUUUUUUUUAAAGAGAGAGAGAGAGAGACAGACAGAGAGAGAG
rnacentral:lncRNA from 1 species